GGGUAUAAAGCUCAGUGGUAGAGUGCAAGCUUAGCAUGCAUGAGGUCCUGGGUUUAAUCCCCAGUACCUUCA
rnacentral:tRNA from 1 species